GAUGAAGAACGCAGCGAAAUGCGAUAAGUAGUGUGAAUUGCAGAAUUCAGUGAAUCAUCGAAUCUUUGAACGCACAUUGCGCCCCUUGGUAUUCCAUGGGGCAUGCCUGUUCGAGCGUCAUUUGUACCUUCAAGCUCUGCUUGGUGUUGGGUGUUUGUCUCGCCUCUGCGUGUAGACUCGCCUUAAAACAAUUGGCAGCCGGCGUAUUGAUUUCGGAGCGCAGUACAUCUCGCGCUUUGCACUCAUAACGACGACGUCCAAAAGUACAUUUUUACACUCUUGACCUCGGAUCAGGUGGGGAUACCCGCUGAACUUAAGCAUAUCAAUAAGCGGAGGA
rnacentral:misc_RNA from 1 species